GAAGCUGCAGGACUGCGUGAUGGACGUCCUCCACCCAGGAGUCCGGAGCAGAAGCGCCUCCGGUCGGUGAUCCCAAAGUCACGCCGCAGCUCUUCUCGGGGCGCCGCCGUCCUCCUGAGACCGACCCGCCUGAGGAAAGCAUCGCUGUCGCGGCCGGUCAUCCUCACGCUUCAUUUCUGCUCUUUUCUCCUCUAGAGCUGAUCCACUGAGCCGCUCACAGAAGCUGAAGAAGUCACUCCUGUCACGUCAGAAAUCCGUUUUGAUCAACAGUUGAACUGUUGGAUCCCCAGCAAACAGAUUUAAAGAAACCUUUAAAAGUCUGAAGGUCGGUCUGGAGGAUGUUUGAAGAGCCGCAGCGCAGAAGUCAUAAGAAGUCUUCAUUCAUCCAGAGGAAAACUCUGCCGGCCUCGGGAAUUCAGAUUUAAGUCGGAAAGACAACCGCCUUCAUUUCAGACUCGGGUUCCGUACAUUUUCACGUUUGUGGAUUGACUGACACUGAGAAGCUCAGAACUAAGAAGUAAGUCCCGCCUCUGACAGUUAUUAAAACUUCUGACGGCUGAUGUUAUACAUUUGGGAGGAAAUUACUUUUUGACAUGGAGCCAGACAGGUGUCAACAGUGUGGGAAUGCGUCACCACUCACCUGCAUCGCAGCUCUCCCCCGUGAACCCCCGCUCGCAGACGCAGCUCUCUCCCUCCUCCGUCUGCGCGCAGCUGCCGUGCAGACACGGCCGGCUGCGGCACGAGCCGGCUGCAGAGUUGCACAGCGCCCCUGCGUACCCCUUCUCACACUGGCAGCGGUACGUCUGUGCGUCCAGAACCACGCACGUGCCGUGCACACACCUGAGAGCAAAGGAGGAGGCGGACUGUAAUGCAGCACGCAGAAAGGCCCCGCCCCCUGUAGGUAAAGGACGACGGAAGACGGAGGAAAAGGUGCGCCUGACACUCACUUGCUGGCCUCGCAGGGGUUGACGGUGGUUGUCAUGGUAACAGCAUCAGCUCCGGUCAGCGGCUGGUCGCAGAGCGGUCCGGUCCAGCCGGGCUGGCAGCGGCAGCGGGGCCCCUGAGGGGCGACGCAGGUUUGAGUCCCUCAGUAUAAACUACCAUCACCUGCUCCGGACUGAACGCAGGAACGUGCCACCUGCUGACUUCACCCCCGUAUAGGAAGCUGUCGUCACCAUGACGACGGCUCUGAUGAACACGAGCGUUCAGAGCUCAGCAGGUGAUGCUGAACGGAAAACUGAUCAAAUGAAUCCUG